rnacentral:misc_RNA from 1 species
UCGAGUUAGGGUCCUCUGGGCCUGACCUCCAACCCAUGUCUAAAUACCCUGUUGCUUUGGUGGGCCCGUCUUCGGACCGCCGGCGGUCGUCAGACUUCUGGCCCGCGCCCACCAGUGGCCCUCUUUAAACUCUUGAUCAAUGUGGCCUCUGAGUUAUACAUUAAUAGUUA